UGGCUCAGUUGGUAGAGCAUGGUGCUUGCAAUGCGAGGGUUGUGGGUUCGAUUCCCAC
rnacentral:tRNA from 1 species